CAGAGGGUAGUUUAUUUAAAAUAUUAAUUUUGGGGAUUAAUGAAAGGAGAUUACUUUUUCCUCUGA
rnacentral:tRNA from 1 species